rnacentral:rRNA from 1 species
AGGACGAACGCUGGCGGCGUGCCUAACACAUGCAAGUCGAGCGAGGAGAUCCUUCGGGAUGAUCCUAGCGGCGGACGGGUGAGUAACACGUGGGCAACCUGCCUCAUAGAGAGGAAUAGCCUUCCGAAAGGGAGAUUAAUACCUCAUAACAUUGCAGUUUCGCAUGGAACAGCAAUUAAAGGAGCAAUCCACUAUGAGAUGGGCCCGCGGCGCAUUAGCUAGUUGGUGAGGUAACGGCUCACCAAGGCGACGAUGCGUAGCCGACCUGAGAGGGUGAUCGGCCACAUUGGGACUGAGACACGGCCCAGACUCCUACGGGAGGCAGCAGUGGGGAAUAUUGCACAAUGGGGGAAACCCUGAUGCCAGCAACGCCGCGUGAGUGAUGACGGCCUUCGGGUUGUAAAGCUCUGUCUUCAGGGACGAUAAUGACGGUACCUGAGGAGGAAGCCACGGCUAACUACGUGCCAGCCGCCGC